rnacentral:rRNA from 1 species
CAAUGCGGGGCUUACUGCUCUGCAAUUGGAAUGAGUACAAUUUAAAUCACUUAACGAGUAUCAAUUGGAGGGCAAGUCUGGUGCCAGCAGCCGCGGUAAUUCCAGCUCCAAUAGCGUAUAUGUAAGUUGUUGCGAUUAAAAAGCCCGUAGCUGAACCUCGGGCAGCCCUGAUGGUCCGCGUUUCGUGAGUACUGUCCUGGGCUGUCUUUCUGGCAAGACCGUAUCUCAGUGUUAAUUCACUUGGGAACGGCGCUUGCCAAGGUUACUUUGAGUAAAAUAGAGUGUUCAAAGCAAGCUCGCGCUAUGAAUACACUAGCAUGGGAUAACACAACAUGACCGAUGGUCUAUCUUGUUGGCCUGUAGAUCUGUUGGUAAUGGCUAAUAGGGACGGUCGGGGGCAUUCGUAUUUCGCUGUCAGAGGUGAAAUUCUUGGAUUUGCGAAAGACGAACUACUGCGAAAGCAUUUGCCAAGGACGCUUUCAUUAGUCAAGGACGAAAGUCGGGGAUCGAAGACGAUUAGAUACCGUCGUAGUCUCGACCAUAAACGAUGCCAAUUAGGGAUUGGAGGGUGGAUUUUUUAUGCCUCCUCCAGCACCUUCCGCGAAAGCAAAAUUUAUGGGCUUCGGGGGGAGUAUGGUCGCAAGGCUGAAACUUAAAGGAAUUGACGGAACGGCACCACCAGGCGUGGAGCCUGCGGCUUAAUUUGACUCAACACGGGAAAACUUACCAGGUCCAGACAAGAUUAGGAUUUACAGAUUGAUAGCUCUUUAAAGAUUUUUUGGAUGGUGGUGCAUGGCCGUUCUUAGUUCGUGGAUUGAUUAGUCAGGUUGAUUCCGGUAACGGACGAGACCCCAACCUACUAACUAGCUCUGGUUGCUAUGCAGCUAGCCAGCUUCUUAGAGGGACUCUCGGAUUGAAACCGAAGGAGGUGGGGCAAUAACAGGUCUGUGAUGCCCUUAGACGUCCUGGGCCGCACGCGCGCUACACUGAUGCAUUCAACGAGCCUACCCUGUGCCGAGAGGUAUGGGUAAUCUGAGAAACUGCAUCGUGAUGGGGCUAGAUUAUUGCAAUUAUUGAUCUUCAACGAGGAAUGCCUAGUAAGCGCGAGUCAUCAACUCGCGUUGAUUACGUCCCUGCCGUUUGUACACACCGCCCGUCGCUCCUACCGAUUGGGUGUGCUGGUGAAAUGUUCGGAUUGGUCGCCUUUCCGUAAGGGAGACAGCUGAGAAGUUC